UUAGAUAUAUAAACUUAAUUCCUAACAGAAAGGGACUCUAAUGACAAUUCUCACAAUCAUUUUUUUCUGCAAAUCACACUCUCACAAAAAACAAAAAAAAAACCAAUUUUCUCUUCUCUCUCAUUUUUUAGCUUCAUCACAUUCUUGCUCAAAUUGAUGAAGAUCUUGUGAAUUUUGGUGGAAAUUCUCUGUUGAUUAUCAUUUUGCAGGUGUUGAUGAGCUUCUGUUGACGAAGAACAACGCCAAUUGGUGAUAAGAUCAAGCUGCUGCGAAAUUUUCUUCCUCCAUAACAGUCGGCGAUUCUUGAUAAUCCAAGCACUUUCGAGCUUCAAGAGUCACUCCACGCACCUUCUACAACUUAUUGCUGCAUCUGUUCGCGCGAAAUCGAAGCUCAACCGCGAACUCCAUUGCCGUCAUCAAGAAAGGUUGGGAAUCGACUUUCAAGAUAGCUUAAAUUGAGUCAUGGAUAUUGUAGAUUACGCUUUGUAGAUUAUAUAACAAGUCUUGGAUUGUAGAAUUGCUGGUGAGUCAUGGAUAUUGUAGAUUACGCUUUGUAGAUUAUAUAACAAGUCUUGGAUUGUAGAAUUGCUGGAAAUUGGUUGAAUUAUUGUCGAUUUAGGUUUUGUCGCGAUUUUCUUUUUCCUUCGAUU
rnacentral:lncRNA from 1 species